UACAGAGGUGGCAAGCGUUGUUCGGAUUUACUGGGCGUAAAGGGCGCGUAGGCGGCAGAUCAAGUCAGCUGUGAAAUCUCCGAGCUUAACUCGGAACUGUCAGCUGAUACUGUUUUGCUAGAGUGCGGAAGGGGCAAUCGGAAUUCCAGGUGUAGCGGUGAAAUGCGUAGAUAUCUGGAGGGACACCGGUGGCGAAGGCGGCAUCCUGGACCGACACUGACGCUGAGGAGCGAAAGCCAGGGGAGCAAACGGG
rnacentral:rRNA from 1 species